rnacentral:rRNA from 1 species
UACGUAGGGGGCGAGCGUUGUCCGGAAUUAUUGGGCGUAAAGAGCUCGUAGGCGGUCUGUUGCGUCGGCUGUGAAAACCCGGGGCUCAACCCCGGGCCUGCAGCCGAUACGGGCAGACUAGAGUUCGGCAGGGGAGACUGGAAUUCCUGGUGUAGCGGUGAAAUGCGCAGAUAUCAGGAGGAACACCGAUGGCGAAGGCAGGUCUCUGGGCCACUACUGACGCUGAGAAGCGAAAGCAUGGGGAGCGAACAGG